rnacentral:rRNA from 1 species
UCCAGACUCCUACGGGAGGCAGCAGUGGGGAAUAUUGCACAAUGGGGGAAACCCUGAUGCAGCGACGCCGCGUGAGCGAUGAAGUACUUCGGUAUGUAAAGCUCUCUCAGCAGGGAAGAAAAUGACGGUACCUGACUAAGAAGCCCCGGCUAACUACGUGCCAGCAGCCGCGGUAAUACGUAGGGGGCAAGCGUUAUCCGGAUUUACUGGGUGUAAAGGGAGCGUAGACGGCAAUGCAAGCCAGAUGUGAAAGCCCGGGGCUCAACCCCGGGACUGCAUUUGGAACUGUGUAGCUGGAGUGUCGGAGAGGCAGGCGGAAUUCCUAGUGUAGCGGUGAAAUGCGUAGAUAUUAGGAGGAACACCAGUGGCGAAGGCGGCCUGCUGGACGAUGACUGACGUUGAGGCUCGAAAGCGUGGGGAGCAAAUAGGAUUAGAUACCCUCGUAA